CUGAUGCAGCUGGAAGUGGGUUUAUUCCUGUUGAUGAUCUCACUUCAAAGAUUCUUCCGGUGAUCAAGGGUUCAGAUAAGUAUGGAGGUGUGAUGCUUUGGUCCAAGUAUUAUGAUGAUCAAUCUGGAUAUAGCUCUUCCAUUAAGAGUCAUGUUUAGAUGUUCCCUUGUAAACUUUAUUCGUAUGUUACCGAUGUUUUUAUUGUGAUGAAAUUUAUGUUGACGAGUGGUUGUUCGUAAUCUUUGAUUUGUUGUUAAAUUUUUACAUAUUCUACUUUCACAUGUGCUAACAGAUGUGAAUCUUUUUUACUUUUUACUUACUAACGAGCUUAAAGAAAAAUAUGCAAGAAAUUAAAAUCAUGAGGAUUGCACAUGUAAGGAAAUGCAAAGUUGGACUAAAGUUUUGAUUUUUUAUAAACUACAAGGAUCAUUUAUGUAAUUUUGUCUAACCGCAACACAAACUGGUCCCUCUAAUUAAUAAAAAGAGGGAGUGAUUGUGUCAUGGAGGAGUUCAAAGUAUUAGCUAUAAUCAACAAAGAGAUUCUUAUGAAUUCUGAACUUUUUGCAUUAAGAUUAUUGAUUUAACGUCUUAAUCUUAUUAAUCUUUUGAAAGGGUUAAAUACAAUACACAACAUGUUUUUUUGUUUAUCAUAGCAUCCUACUUCCAUUCUUCAUACUACUACAUCACACUUUAACCCAAAUAUAGCAGUGUCAACCAAAUGGCAGUAUUCAUUGCUAAAGUUAUGUAGAUUUUUAAAGUUUAAUGGUCUAAUAAGACAAAAAGUCUAGAAAUUAGAAUGAUAUGAUAAAGUAAAUUUUUCAAAGCAACAUGCCUUAAAAAAGAUUUUUUGAGUCACUAGCAAACCAGAUUGCAGCUAUCAGAAUUUGUCUUCCAUUUCGACUUAACGGGAAGAAUAAAUAAACCAUUAACCAAUUAAGAGCCACCAAUUAAAUGUAAACUUAAGCAACAACAUCUCCUGAUUAGCCAAUUAUCUUCUUUCGAUUCUAAAUUCAAGAUAUAUUUACUUUGAAAAAGCACAUUAAACACCCCCUUGUACGAUCAAAUUUGACAGGCAUUUGUCGUCUGAAGUAAUUUGGGUAAUUAGAAAUCCAAUUAGUUUAGCAAUUUCAUCAAGUACAAUUAGAUUAAUUAUCCUUUUUUUUUCCCAAUAAACUGAUUUGGGAAUAAAAAAUCAUGAACUUGAACUCCUUCAUAUGUUUAAAUACAUACCUACACAUCAUACGAAAAAGUAAUUACCUUUGAUGGCCAAACGACGAUUAGCCUCCAACAAUCUGAGAAGCUCAAGCAAAGCAGCCCCAUUAGAAUACAUCUUGAAUAAUUUCCAGCAAUUUUACAAAUGAAUAUUCAUUUUUCACAUUCUUCAUCAAUUCAUCUGGAAAUAGAGUGACCGGUUUUUUUCAACCGGUUUGAUUAUAGAGGGAAGAUCGACUCUUGUGAAAUUGAUAUCAAGGGUGGUGUUGACAGCGACGACAGUGGAAGAGACACGGUGGCGUUCGGAGGUCGGCUCGUCGAGAACAUCUAGGUAACCGUUGUUGUUUAGCCAAAAUCUCACUAACGAAGCUGACUCCACAAAAGUGAAAUUACUUUUAUUCCCUCACGUGAGGGCCACAUUCCUCUCUUGGACGGAAGAAACACUCAGGGUUAAGAUCUAACCAGAACCCUUCACAUGAACCACCCAUAAUAAAAUCUCAAUACUAGAACCAAAAGUGAGAUUUUAGCCAAACCACAAGGACCAAAAUUGUAUUUUACAGUAUGGUUCUAGAAGUAUACUAGGAAGCUGUUAAAGGGAAUUGGAAAUCUAUCCCUUAUCCAUAUUUUAACAAUUGUCAAAUUACAAGAAUUGAAAAUACAAAAUUUCAUUGUUAAUGCCCUGGUCACCAAUUGGACCAAACUGAGUUAAUUUAAAUACCAUGUACAAAUAAAAACUAAAAACCCACAAUCCAAAUUGUAAAUUCCAAGGUAAAU
rnacentral:lncRNA from 1 species